CCUACGGGAGGCAGCAGUGAGGAAUAUUGGUCAAUGGACGAGAGUCUGAACCAGCCAAGUAGCGUGAAGGAUGACUGCCCUAUGGGUUGUAAACUUCUUUUAUAAAGGAAUAAAACGAGGCACGUGUGCCUUUUUGCAUGUACUUUAUGAAUAAGGAUCGGCUAACUCCGUGCCAGCAGCCGCGGUAAUACGGAGGAUCCGAGCGUUAUCCGGAUUUAUUGGGUUUAAAGGGUGCGUAGAUGGGUUGUUAAGUCAGUUGUGAAAGUUUGCGGCUCAACCGUAAAAUUGCAAUUGAUACUGGCAGUCUAGAGUACAGUUGAGGUAGGCGGAAUUCAUGGUGUAGCGGUGAAAUGCUUAGAUAUCACGAAGAACCCCGAUUGCGAAGGCAGCUUACUAAACUGUGACUGACGUUGAGGCUCGAAAGUGUGGGUAUCAAACAGGAUUAGAUACCCGAGUAGUC
rnacentral:rRNA from 1 species